GGCUGGGGCUCAGUGGUAGAGCACGUGCCUCCAAACCUCGAGGCCCUGGGUUCCAUCCUCAGCAUCAGGUA
rnacentral:tRNA from 1 species